rnacentral:tRNA from 20 species
GGCGGGGUAGCUCAGUUGGUUAGAGCAGCGGAAUCAUAAUCCGCGUGUCGGGGGUUCAAGUCCCUCUCCCGCUACCA